GCGGGACACGUGGUAUCCUGUCUGAAUAUGGGGGGACCAUCCUCCAAGGCUAAAUACUCCUGACUGACCGAUAGUGAACCAGUACCGUGAGGGAAAGGCGAAAAGAACCCCGGCGAGGGGAGUGAAAAAGAACCUGAAACCGUGUACGUACAAGCAGUGGGAGCACGCUUAGGCGUGUGACUGCGUACCUUUUGUAUAAUGGGUCAGCGACUUAUAUUCUGUAGCAAGGUUAACCGAAUAGGGGAGCCGAAGGGAAACCGAGUCUUAACUGGGCGUUAAGUUGCAGGGUAUAGACCCGAAACCCGGUGAUCUAGCCAUGGGCAGGUUGAAGGUUGGGUAACACUAACUGGAGGACCGAACCGACUAAUGUUGAAAAAUUAGCGGAUGACUUGUGGCUGGGGGUGAAAGGCCAAUCAAACCGGGAGAUAGCUGGUUCUCCCCGAAAGCUAUUUAGGUAGCGCCUCGUGAAUUCAUCUCCGGGGGUAGAGCACUGUUUCGGCAAGGGGGUCAUCCCGACUUACCAACCCGAUGCAAACUGCGAAUACCGGAGAAUGUUAUCACGGGAGACACACGGCGGGUGCUAACGUCCGUCGUGAAGAGGGAAACAACCCAGACCGCCAGCUAAGGUCCCAAAGUCAUGGUUAAGUGGGAAACGAUGUGGGAAGGCCCAGACAGCCAGGAUGUUGGCUUAGAAGCAGCCAUCAUUUAAAGAAAGCGUAAUAGCUCACUGGUCGAGUCGGCCUGCGCGGAAGAUGUAACGGGGCUAAACCAUGCACCGAAGCUGCGGCAGCGACGCUGAUGCGUUGUUGGGUAGGGGAGCGUUCUGUAAGCCUGCGAAGGUGUGCUGUGAGGCAUGCUGGAGGUAUCAGAAGUGCGAAUGCUGACAUAAGUAACGAUAAAGCGGGUGAAAAGCCCGCUCGCCGGAAGACCAAGGGUUCCUGUCCAACGUUAAUCGGGGCAGGGUGAGUCGACCCCUAAGGCGAGGCCGAAAGGCGUAGUCGAUGGGAAACAGGUUAAUAUUCCUGUACUUGGUGUUACUGCGAAGGGGGGACGGAGAAGGCUAUGUUGGCCGGGCGACGGUUGUCCCGGUUUAAGCGUGUAGGCUGGUUUUCCAGGCAAAUCCGGAAAAUCAAGGCUGAGGCGUGAUGACGAGGCACU
rnacentral:rRNA from 1 species